AAGCAGUAGGGGCAGCGUGAAGCCCCCUGAUGAGAACUGUUGUGAGUUCAAAACUGCUG
rnacentral:hammerhead_ribozyme from 21 species